AGGCCCGUCGUAUAGCGGUCAAGUAUAGCGGGCUUUGGACCCGUUGACACCGGUUCGAAUCCGGUCGGGCCUA
rnacentral:tRNA from 1 species